GAUGAACGCUGGCGGCGUGCUUAACACAUGCAAGUCGAACGGAAAGGCUCCUGCUUGCAGGGGUACUCGAGUGGCGAACGGGUGAGUAACACGUGGGUGAUCUGCCCUGCACUUCGGGAGAAGCCUGGGAAACUGGGUCUAAUACCGGAUAGGACCACAUUUUGGGUGGUGUGGUGGAAAGUUUUUCGGUGUGGGAUGAGCUCGCGGCCUAUCAGCUUGUUGGUGGGGUAAUGGCCUACCAAGGCGUCGACGGGUAGCCGGCCUGAGAGGGUGUACGGCCACAUUGGGACUGAGAUACGGCCCAGACUCCUACGGGAGGCAGCAGUGGGGAAUCUUGCACAAUGGGCGCAAGCCUGAUGCAGCGACGCCGCGUGGGGGAUGACGGCCUUCGGGUUGUAAACUCCUUUCGCUAGGGACGAAGCGCAAGUGACGGUACCUGGAGAAGAAGCACCGGCUAACUACGUG
rnacentral:rRNA from 1 species